GGGAGCUCUCGCGAGAGGUUUACUGUCUUUGAGAGGAGCAUCACGCGCGAGGAGAGCAUCGCUUCAGCGUUUGGUUUAUCACCGUGAGACACACAGCACUCAGAAUGAACAGACUACAUCUUCAGCCGUUACGCUGUGGGUGAGCAGCUGGGCAAAGGUGGAUUUGGUGUGGUGUACGAAGGUACACGUCUGGAGGAUAAUCUUAAAGUGGCUUUGAAAUACGUCACAAAGACAGAGCACAUGGAAUGUAUAUCAAUUCCUGAUCAUCCAGACCCUCUCCCAAAAGAGAUUGCCCUCACUAUCAUGGCGAAUAAAGGUCACAGAGUGCCAGAAAUCAUCAGACUGCUGGACUGGACGGAUCACUCUGACCACUACGUCAUGGUCCUGGAAUGUCCCUCUCCCUGUGAGAAUCUGGUUGAGUUCAUCAGGCGUCACGGUGGAAGCUUGGACGAGGAGAAAACACGGCAGAUCAUGUGGCAG